ensembl:lncRNA
GCUCAUUUAGGCUGAAUGCAGGGGGAGAGGAAUUCAAUUGGCUGUCAGCAGGAGGCUGUUGCAGUCUAUUUUGCACAGAGCAUGGAGAAAAGACUGGAAAACAAGAGAAAAAAAAAAAGAACAUGGGAAACCAAAUUAGGGAAGGCUGCAAACCAGGCUUAAAUCCGCAUGAAUUCCACAGCUCUCACCUGAACAGAUAAUUAUUUUUAUGAUUGGCAGUAAGAUGAAAUGAUGUUUGGAACAGACCAGUACAGUACCUCCAGUGAUGUAAUAAUGACCUUCACCCUCAGCCUGUUCCUUCCCCAUCAGCCAUCAGCAUCUUCCCUACAGACAAAAAUUAAAGGUCUAGACCGGAAUGACAAAGACUGAGAAGGACCCUACAGCCAGAGCAGAAAGAACGGUAAUAGAAUAGGUAAUCAAAAACAUGGCCUAUCUAUCCCAUCCCAUUCUCUCCAAUACAAUCACUUUUUUCUGCAACUAAUCAUAAAGAAGCAGAUAAGUCUGAUGGUGGAAAAGCAAAAGUUCUAUUCAGGCAGGAUUAAAAUAAGUUGAACAAACACUCAGAAAAUAGUAUCUCCCUUCAGGGCAAGCCUGCAAUCAUUUCAAAGUAUCAUUUUGCAAGUUUGAGCUAGUAACUAAAGUAGGCAAAAGGACAGAUUAUGAAAAAUAAUAAAAAAAAAGAUUAAAAAGCUAAAUGAAAGUAACAUUAAAGUAAAUUACAAGUAUUUUGAAAUAAUUAAAUAGGUUUAUUUUAAAAGCAGAGCAAAAUUUAGGUUUCCCCCUGCAACACAGCUCUAAAUAUUUUUUAAAAAUUAUGAGAUUUGAAUAUUUGUGCAUAUUCUAUCGCCUACACCUUUUUCUUUUACAUAAGAUAUGAUGAAAACUGAAUAUAAAAUGUGUAUAUCUACUAAUUUUUAAUCAAUGCAUAUUAAGAAGUGUAGAAAUGAGUAUAAAAAGGGGACACAGGAAUGGAAUGUAUAUAGAAUGUAAUGUGAAUUGUAUUCAUUUGGAAGACUAAAUAAAAACCAAUAUAUAAUUUUAAAAAGCAGCAUCAGCAUUCUUCUAUAAAUCUUUUAUGUUCCAUUGAAGAAAGAUGAUCAUACAGAUUUGGAACAUCUCAUGAGGGUGAAUAAAUAAUGACAGAAUUGUAA